CUCUGCCCGGGGCUCAGCGCCAUUCACAGACCAGGGGUAGAGAGAGCAAUGGACACAUCAGCCAGCAAACCCAGUCUGGGAACCAGCACCCUGCGUGCACAGCCGGCCCCCGGCCCCUUCUGGUGCGCGGGCUGUCAGACAAGAAGUAGUGAUCCCCCACCCUUCGCCAUAAGCAACUGGCUUCUCUGGAGAAACACAGCUGUGGUGAUAGCUGUGCAGAUUUUUUAAGAGAGAGGAUGCUCCAGCCAAACCAGCCUCAUACCAAGAAAGAAGACACAAAUCCUAGCAAGAGACGACCCGAACCGAGAGAAGAGAAGGGCCCGGCAGCUGCCCAGCAGGCGCAGGACGUUUCAGCACUGCGGGCUGCAGGUGCUUCCAUCUCCCUGCAAACGACCCCGGGGUGUUCUGACUGCGGACUUGGACUGCACUGCGGUAGAGAUCAGUCAUUGAUGUCGCUGAUCCACCAGCGAUGGGUGACAGGUGCAGGCUGCUUCCCCCACACUCAGCGCCCUGACCCCUCCCACCCCAACGUCCCC